rnacentral:rRNA from 1 species
UACGGAGGGUGCAAGCGUUAUCCGGAUUCACUGGGUUUAAAGGGUGCGUAGGUGGGCAGGUAAGUCAGUGGUGAAAUCUCCGGGCUUAACCCGGAAACUGCCAUUGAUACUAUCUGUCUUGAAUACCGUGGAGGUGAGCGGAAUAUGUCAUGUAGCGGUGAAAUGCUUAGAUAUGACAUAGAACACCAAUUGCGAAGGCAGCUCACUACACGAAUAUUGACACUGAGGCACGAAAUCGUGGGUAUCAAACAGG